rnacentral:misc_RNA from 1 species
GAAAUGCGAUAAGUAGUGUGAAUUGCAGAAUUCAGUGAAUCAUCGAAUCUUUGAACGCACAUUGCGCCCCUCGGUAUUCCGUGGGGCAUGCCUGUUCGAGCGUCAUCUACACCCUCAAGCUCUGCUUGGUGUUGGGCGUCUGUCCCGCCUCCGCGCGCGGACUCGCCCCAAAUGCAUUGGCAGCGGUUCCUUGCCCCCCUCUUUGCGCAGCACAUUGCCAUUCGAGGCGGCGGCGGCCCGCGUCCAACAAGCUCAACCCCCCCGUCUUUGACCUCGGAUCAGGUAGGGAUACCCGCUGAACUCAAGC